CCUACGGGUGGCAGCAGUGGGGAAUAUUGGACAAUGGGCGAAAGCCUGAUCCAGCCAUGCCGCGUGUGUGAAGAAGGCCUUCGGGUUGUAAAGCACUUUCAGUGGGGAAGAAAGCCUUGGGGCUAAUACCCUCGAGGAAGGACAUCACCCACGGAAGAAGCACCGGCUAACUCCGUGCCAGCAGCCGCGGUAAUACGGAGGGUGCGAGCGUUAAUCGGAAUUACUGGGCGUAAAGCGCGCGUAGGCGGUCUGAUAAGCCGGUUGUGAAAGCCCCGGGCUCAACCUGGGAACGGCAUCCGGAACUGUCAGGCUAGAGUGCAGGAGAGGAAGGUAGAAUUCCCGGUGUAGCGGUGAAAUGCGUAGAGAUCGGGAGGAAUACCAGUGGCGAAGGCGGCCUUCUGGACUGACACUGACGCUGAGGUGCGAAAGCGUGGGUAGCAAACAGGAUUAGAUACCCUUGUAGUC
rnacentral:rRNA from 1 species